rnacentral:rRNA from 1 species
CCUGAACGCUGGCGGCGUGGCUAAGACAUGCAAGUCGCACGGUGUAGCAAUACACAGUGGCGAACGGGUGAGUAAUGAAUCGCUAAUGUACCCCGGACUCUGAGAUAGCUACCCGAAAGGGUAGGUAAUACCAGAUGAUAUAACCGUCUCGCAUGAGAUGGUUCUCAAAGGUCCGCCGGUCUGGGAGCAGGCGAUUUCGU